rnacentral:lncRNA from 1 species
UCCAGGUCCAAAUCGGGGCACCACCACCGCCGGAGACAAAGCGUGCCCGAGCCACCCAGUGCACCACCUCUCGCCGCCCACACGGCCAAGAGGAACGCCAUCACCGCCCAUAGCAGUUUCCUUGUUCUAGCACUAUUUUACUAUAUUGAAUAUUUGAAGCACCUGAUAAUAACCUUGCCAUCUUUGUCUUGAUAUAUGCAGACUUUCGAUGAAGGUGUCAUCACCUAGGACGGGCGUGCUUCCUGAAAUUUGUGAGUCCAUCCCGUUUCCUCCACCCCACGAUAAAAAGUGUGAAAUGACUUGGUUUUUUUUGAUAAAGGGCUUUUCAUUGAAUUAAAAUAUCGAGUUGAUACAACCACAUCAAAAAUCACCCGGCCUCUGCAUAGCUAGAUGCACACAGCCAAAAGUUUGAAAUACUGUAAACCGAAAUAAAGUGGCAAAACAGCCAGAACAAGAGAAAAAUAAAAAUUCCUAUAGAGGCCGAUCCUAACCGAAGAUCACACCGCCAUCCAUGGGGGUAAAAAAUCUCCCUGGCCGAACACUCCAGCCGAGUAGAAGCCAUCAUAAAAGGUCUCUGUCCUCCGGCCUCUGCAAGAUAGACCACAUACGGAGCCAUCGCGAACAUAUAUGAAUAACCUGCAUAGGGGAUGAAACGCAUUUACGGUUAAAAACAAUGUCAUUCCUAGUGAGCCACAGUGCCCAACAUAAGGCAGCCGCCCCCACAAGAAUGUGUUUAGAAAAUUGUUUAUCUAUACCCCUCAACCAAUUGUCGAACAUAUUCCGUGCACUACGUGGAGGAUAUAGAUUCGAAGCUAUUUGGACAAUGGCCCAUACAGAUCGAGCAAACUUGCAAUCAAAAAAUAAGUGCUUAAUGGACUCAUCAUGGUGGCAAGAUCGAGCAAACUUGCAAUUAAAAAAUAAGUGCUUAAUGGACUCAUCAUGGUGGCAGAAAACACAUUUUUUGCAACCUUGCCAGUUUCAUCAUACCAAAUUGUCCCUAGUUAAGAUAACUCCUUUAUUGAGAAACCAUAGAAAAAUUUUCACUUUUAGAGGAAUCUUCAACUUCCACAAUAUUUUAUUGUCAAUUGGAACCUCGUUAUGAACCAAUGCAUCAUACAUAGAUUUGACCGAAAACUUCCCACUCUGAUGCAGUUUCCAUUUAAAGAUAUCCGGUUCUGUCGAUAGUUGGAUGGCUCCCAAUCGGGUUAGCAAAUCAUCCCAACGAGGUACACUGAGGGUUGUACGAAAAGAAAUAUCUGGGUUUUCUUGGCCCAGCACCUACUUAAUCGUGACAAACUUAUGUCUAACUAUCCGAUAUAAGCUUGGGUAUUGCACGUUCAAUGGGGUGGUCCCGAGCCAGGUGUCUUCCCCAAAACGUAUUUGGGAGUCGUCCUUAACCGAGAACGUUCCAAAUUGGAAAAAGAAUUCUUUAGCUUUCAUUACCCCACUCCAAAAAUGUGAAUCACCCCGUUUCCAGUAGACUUGGGAAAUUUCUUUGGAGCGCACGUAUUUAUUACGAAUGAUUUCCUGCCAAACACCAUUCUCAGUGAGUAAUUUGUAUACCCAUUUGCUGAGAAAUGCAAUGUUUUUUAUCUCAAGAUCCUGGAUUCCAAGGCCCCCUUGGCUUUUAGGACGGCAUAAUAUAUUCCACCUAGCCAAACGAUAUUUCUUGGUUUCAUUAUCACUCUGCCAAAAAAAUCUUGAUCUAAAGUAAUCAAGACGUUGGAGCACUCCUUUUGGCAGAUGAAAGAAUUAUAGCAUGUAAAGAACCAUAUUGGUAAGGACCGAGUUGAUCAAAACUAAUCGGCCCCCAUAGGACAAGAGUUUGGCCUUCCAACUAGCCAACCGUUUCUUCAGUCUCUCUUCAACAUGCUUCCAUUCAGCGAUUGUCAAUCGCCGAUAAUGAAUAGGGAUACCUAGAUAGCGAAUCGGAAAUGACUUGGUGCAGACCUUUCUCUAACUCACAGGGAACGAAAGAUGCAUUCUGCAGUAAAGGGGUGUGCGAGUGUAGGUUCUUCUUACGUUAAGACCUCCUUAACAUGAGCAGAACCUACACUUGCACACCCCUUUACUGCAGAGUACAUCUUCCGUUCCCCGUGAGUUGCAGAAAGGUCUGCACCAACUCAUGUCACAGUUUCUACCGUGGGGUGGAGUAACCGGGAUGGACUCACAAAGUUCAGGAAACACGCUUUUCCUAGCUGAUGACACCUUCAUCGAAAAGACUGGAUGUCUCAACACAAAGAUGACAGGUUAGUAUCGGUGCUUCAAACAAGCAAUAUAGUAAAAUAGUGCUAGAACAAGGAAACUGCAGAGGCUAGGCAGUAGGCAACGCAUUUUUGCAAUGUAAACCCAACCAUUGCGUAGACCGGGGCUUCGCCUCUCAGGGCAUCCAUUUUUGAAUCUAACAAGAUAAAAUAAGCUCUUAUAUCUGCAACAGGCUUAUUGCUACUGUUUCUUUUCAGAAUAUAGCAUAAUCAACUACAAAAUGGCCCAAAUACCUGACAAGAGCACUAGGAGGACGAUUGUUAACAUGAGCAUCGAUGUCUUCAAGCAUGAUCCUCAAUGGAAGAGAGGGAGCAGCGGCCUCCCUGAGUGCAAGCACCAGCGAGGAUGACUAGCUAGUGGGAGGAGACGAUGUGCCUGU